rnacentral:rRNA from 1 species
GAUGAACGCUAGCGGGAGGCCUAACACAUGCCAGCCGAGCGGUAUUUGUUCUUCGGAACAGAGAGAGCGGCGCACGGGUGCGGAACACGUGUGCAACCUGCCUUUAUCUGGGGGAUAGCCUUUCGAAAGGAAGAUUAAUACCCCAUAAUAUAUUGAGUGGCAUCAUUUGAUAUUGAAAACUCCGGUGGAUAGAGAUGGGCACGCGCAAGAUUAGAUAGUUGGUGAGGUAACGGCUCACCAAGUCAAUGAUCUUUAGGGGGCCUGAGAGGGUGAUCCCCCACACUGGUACUGAGACACGGACCAGACGCCUACGGGAGGCAGCAGUGAGGAAUAUUGGACAAUGGGUUAGCGCCUGAUCCAGCCAUCCCGCGUGAAGGACGACGGCCCUAUGGGUUGUAAACUUCUUUUGUAUAGGGAUAAACCUACUCUCGUGAGAGUAGCUGAAGGUACUAUACGAAUAAGCACCGGCUAACUCCGCG